CCCCCUCUGAGCUUCCACCAACCGGCUCCGCCGUCGCUUUUUGGACUCCACCGUUGCUUCCACCGGCUGUAAUGGAUGACUCCUCUUCCCCCUUAGGUACGAUCUUCCAUCGAUCAACCACUGGUUUUUUUUUUUGGUUGAUCGGGCCAUCGGAGGAGGGGGGACGACGGUGGGGUUGGGGGGACGGUGGCAUCUCGGAGGAGG
rnacentral:lncRNA from 1 species